AAGAAAAUUAUACGAAUUCUAGGUUUAUAAAUAUAAAAAUUAAAAGAAUAAACCCCAAAAGGCCACAGACCCAGGGCUAAGCCCUGCAGCCAGGACUAGCAGGCCAUAAAGAUAAAGGAGCACAGGAAACACUGUUCAGGCAGGACUGACAAGCCAUAAAGAAAAGGAAUGCAGGAACCAGCCUGAGUUAAUGGGACUGAUUCAUGGGACGUCUGGCAGGAAGACAUCUCCCCCCAGCUCACUGAGGGCCAUCCUCCGGCCCCUGAUAAGCCCCUGACUUCUAGCACGUACUCUUUCUGCUUUGUUCUCACUGCUAUGUUUGAAUGAGCCAAUUGUAUGUAACCACGCCAAAACCCCCUAGCCUUCUCUAUAUAACCCUCUGACUUUUGAGUUUCGGGGUCGACACCUCUGUCUCCUGCGUGGGAUAUGUGUCGGCCCGGAGAUCUCUGUAAUAGGUCUCCGUAAUAAACCUCGCCUUUGCUUAUUACAUCCAAAAUGGUCUCUCUGUGUCUGGGGUCCGCGAUUUCCCAAGACUUGAGUAAGGGUCUCUCUGCGUGGGAUCUUUCAUAUUUAUGGGGGCUCGUCCGGGAUCUGCGCGACUACCCCAGACUCCGAAGACCCCUUGGAGGUGAGUUGGAUGUUUGUCUGAGUGUUUCUGUGUGAGCGGCGCCGCAAUUGUCAGUCUGUGUCUGUCUCUGUUUUGGUUCCGCCGUGUGUGUAUAUAUGUGUGUCUUAGUACUGGUCAGUGUUAAGAGGGCAGAUGGGUAUUCCUGCCCUGUGGUAAGAGGGCAGAUGGGUAUUCCUGCCCUGUGGUAAGAGGGUGGAUGUGUAUUCCUGCCCUGUAGGAGAGUGGAUGUGUAUCCCCACUCAGUGCAGCUGCCUUUGUGGUCCGUGAGGACCCCCUGGCUGCGGAAGGGGGGACGCCCCGGGCCCGCAAGGCUACAGCCCCUGGAAGACGUUCCACGGGCGGAGAACAGUCGGGAGAGCCCGGCUAUGGACAGUCAGGAGGACCUGACUCUGGUUUUCUGGAACAAAGGAGAUGGAAUGCUCCUUUUACCUAGGCGGGAGUGGACGAGGAAUCCCACUCCGUCAGAGGUCGAGUUCGGCUGCCUAUUUAAAUAUAGGCACGGACAAGUGUGCUUAGUCGUUAGGACAAGAGGACACUCUGGAAUCCUGUUGGGAGGUGGAAUCAGAUGGUCCAUCUCAUCCCAAAAGCAGCUAAGGUUAAGCUGCAGUUUGGGCCACGUACUGAAGGUACCAGGCAUCUGUGAAAGUUGGUUAUAAGAUGCUUUGUCUUGAUAUUGUUUGUCUGGCUUGUUUUCUGUGGUAUUGUCGAGUGUCUUUUUGGCUUUUGUUUCGUUUUUGAAUUUUGGACUGACGACUGUGUUUGAAUUUGGACUGACGACUGUGUUUAAAAUCUUGGACUGAUGACUGUGUUUGAAAUCAUGAAACUGUUUGCUUUGUUCGUCAUAGAGUUUUACUUGGUCCUCUUGGUGCUUAAGUUAAGAGUUAAAAAUAAUUUGCUUGAGAAAAAUUGUUUUCUGCCAGGGAGUUUUGUCUUUCUCUCUUGAGCCUCCUCCCCAAAGAGAGAUGCCCCUCCCUUUACUCCCCUUGAUCAGCCUAGCUGCUGUUAACAGUUGUGUAAACAGACAUUAACAAAAACCUUGAGGAAGAAACCGCUUAUAAAUAAAAAAAGUUCCCCAGAUUAGGCUGCCUGCUAUAGAACAAAUAUAGUGAGUAGAAAACUUAAUUUUAUGGACCCCGCUCUAGUGGCGGUGUGUUGGUUGAUAGCCAACGUUAAGUUUUUAAAACAUAGUGUUUUAUCUGUGCUUGUGCUUGAAACACACAGUAGGGGGGAGCGAAAUUAGCUGCGGAGCUGCUGCAGCGAGCAUGGGGACUUCUCAAGUCUCUCCCAAUUUUUCUGGCUCUUCAGGAGCUGUUUAAAAGAAAAAGGCUUAAGGUAAAAAGAAACACUAUAAAAAGAUUUCUUAGUGAAUUACUACACCUUGGUUUGCGAUCUCUGGGAAUCUCAUGGUGGACAGCUGAGAUAAGCUGGAAAAGGAUUUAAAUUUUGCUUAGAAACAAAGAAUCUUAAAGGUGGAGUUUCAGCCGGUAUGACACUUAGUGCAUAGCUGCCUAAAAGAUCAGAAAUGCUGUCAACAGGCUAUAAAAAAGGGACAGGCUGUGUUAAAAAUGCUACAUAAAGAAUAAUCUAAAAAGGCUGAGAGUGAGGUGGGAGAGGACUCUAAGAAAAACAAGAACAAGAAAGGAAUUUCUGCUUUUAGUGACCAGACCUUCAACUCUUGCUCACAGAAAGAGGGUGCUCAUUAAGAGAAGUUCUUUAAGGAGCCUGCCUUAUCUGCUGGCCCUAUUCCAAGAGAGGAGCCAGUCUCCAACAUUAAAUUACUUUUCUCACUGGUCAUCAUUAGCAUGGAGAAUGCCUUUGAUCCUAUCCCCACAGCAGCCAGUUCCUGCCCCUGUGGUAGAAAUGUCCCAGGUUGGAGGGCAGAGAAGCCCCUAAAAUAGUUUCAAAGAAUCUACAACAAACUGUAAAGAACUUUGUUUUGUUUUGCCAGUUUGAAUUUAGAAUUCAGGCUUUGGCUGUGGCCGAGGUCAGGAUUAAUGUUUUCGUUUCCAUGGGCCCUUAGCCCACUGAGACAGUUUGAUAAAGGACUACUACUACAGUCCUGAUAUUCAGAGACAUGGAGAGAGCUAUAGUUUUUUUAUUAAAGGUUGGUACUAUAGUAUUAACAAUCUCUUUAUUAGAUAUAAGAGACAAGAAGCCCCAGGUGAACUGGUUACAAUUCUUUUGUCAGCUGCUUAGUAUCUAACACUCAGGUUCUAUCGUCUCUCCAUCCUUUUAUUAUUAGUUGUUACUGAAAGCCUAGUGCCAUUUAGAGGAUGGGUCUCUUGAGUGAUAAAGCCACUGAGCUGGCACUAAAGGAAGGUACUCCUUAAGGGAAAAUCUAAGUCCAGAGAGACAACCGGUAACAGAUAGACUGCCCCUCUGCUCACUUUUCUGUUUCACAGACACAAGGUCUUUUUGUCCCAAGAAAGCCUCCUGGCUUAGCUGUGUGACUAAAUGCUAUUUGCCCUCUUCAGUGGACCUCUAUUCUCAAGAUUCCCUUGUUUUCUCACCAUCCCAUUUGAGAUGCUUGUUAGUAACUGUUACAGGUCUUCUUUACCACCGAGGAAAGACAAAAUCCUACUAGAGGCCAGAAAAAGUGUUCCAGAGAUGGAUGGAAGGCCCUCACUUCUGCCUGCUCUUUUCAGACGCCUAAAGGUAGGGAGUGCCAGGUCUGCCGCCAGGCUCCAAGGGUGGGUCUCUGAGGGGCUAAAAAAUGCCCCACCAAUCUGGCUAAGAUAAAGAAAGGAUAUGAAGAAAAAGUUACAAAAAUUUGAAGGGUUAAGUUAAGUUGCUGAGAGUUAGUGUAAGUUACAGAGAAAGUAAGGUUAAAAAAGAAAGAGGUAAAAAGAACAGAAAGCUAGGGAAGAAAAGAGACAAAAAAAAGAAGUUAGAGAGCUAAAGAGAGAUAAAAGACAAGAGAGGAACAUAUACUGGCCACAGUAGUUAGGGAACCUAGGAAGAUAGUACCUGACAACAGAAGAGAAUUCCUGGCUAAAGAUCAGUGUGCCUAAUACAAAGAAAAAGGACACUGGGUCAGGGACUGCCCAAGAAAGAACAAGAGGGGCCACUGGAGAGCUUCUUGGUCCUAGAGUGCUGGACAGGGACCCAAUGCUCUGUGCUCCUAUGCCCCCCAGUGGGCCAAUAUCCAAAGACCUUGAGUGCAAGGAGCUACUGGCAACGAACAAUACUUAUGGACUGCCCGAAGAACAGUGGACCUUGGCGUGGGCCGGGUAACCCACCCACUAAUUCAUGGUCAUCCCUGACUGCCCCUAUCCCUUGCUCAUGAGAAAAUUGCUCUCCAAAUUGGCUUGCGUGGGCUGAAAUGGCUGGAUGAGGCCAUGUGUAUACAUAUCUAUAGACUGUGUAUGUGGAGCUUAAGACCUGUCUCAGUACACCAGUAACUGAUGCUGGGAGUUAAAUGGCUUAGUGCUUUUCUGCCUGAAACACACCGUUCCUGCCAGCCGGGCACUAACAAUUAUCACCCAAUCCAGGACUUAAACUGUGAUAGAGUGGCUGAUAGAGUGUCCAAAGAUGGGACCACUGGUCAGCUGCCAUGGACUAAAUUCUCCACCGGUUGGGGACAAUCUGGUCACCUUGCUGCCCAAUCCGGACCUGGAGCCACCACAGCACGAGUGUCAAACACUGACAGAAACACAUGGGUGGAGGAAAGACCUCUGCGACUGGCUGAUUGACCCCUGCUGAAAGCCGAGGACCUUGUCCACAGACGGGAACAGUUCUCUUCAUGAAUGAAGGUCAGAGACAAGUGGGUGCUGCCAUGGUGGACAACACAAUGUCAUCUAGAAUGGCUAAACCCCAACCCCCCCAGCACAUCAGCGCCACAGAUGUCUUUGCCAUCUCUUAGAUGCCCUGAUGAAGCCAACAACUGUGAGUACUAUUCAUUGCUUAGGAUAUCAGGAGGAAAGAGAUUCAGUGACAUGGGACAGUAACAAAACAGAUAAAGUGGCUCGAGAAAUGAUUAUACAGGAGCCUAUCCUGGUUACAGGCCUACAAGAGACAGCCACUGGGAACUGAGAUUGGACUAAGGGAUGGCCUCACUUAGAAUGUACAACAGAAAAAAAGGCCCAAGUUGUUUAAAAGAUAAAAGGACAAUGACACACUUGGGGAGAAAGCUAUACACCCCAAAGAACAAACAAAAGACUCACUUUGCCAAAUUAAGAAAUGGACUCAUUUAAGAGAUAAGAAGUUUGUCCAAAUAGUUAAAAUAUAUAUAAUAGACUUUAAGAUUUUAGCCAAGAGAGACAGUAAAAAGUAUAAGAUAUGUCAAUAAGUAAAUGCUUAACAAGCAAACAGGGCAAAGAGACCUAGAGAGUUUAGUGAAAAGUCGAAGUGAACUUCACUGAGAUAAAACCAGAAAAAUAUAAUCACAAAUAUCUCCUAGUGCUUGUAGAUACUUUUUCAGGAAUAGAUAGAAGCUUUCCUCACCAAACGAGAGACGGCCUCUACAAUCAUCAAGAAGAUACUGAAAGAAAUCUUCCCCAGGUCUGGAAUGCCCAAGGUAAUCUGGUCAGACAACGGUCCUACUUUCGUUGCCAAGGCUAAAAGACCUACAGGUGAUACAGAAAGAAAUCUGCUCACAGCUGACAGCAGCCUAUGCCCCGGAGACCCCUGAGACAUCCCAUCAGUUCCAGGUCGGAAGCAGCUACACUGAGCCAGACACUCGAUCCUCGCUAGAAAGGACCAUACCUGGUGCUGCUGACCACCCUGACAGCCGUCAAUUCUCAGCCCUCACCAGCCGUGUACUAGCUGUUAGGGCUGAGAGCUGGGACCUAGAGAGAAAUUCAGUCAUGUUUGUCCUGGGUUCCAUCGAGAUAGGUGUGGGGAUAGGCUUGAUUUCUAUUACAAACUCCUAACACUUCUUGGGAUUGUGCCUCAGGGAUCACAACCUAUAUAAGUUUAGAAGUUCUAAAAGACAGUCAUGACCUUGAUGUAUAGGUUCAGAUAGUGUCCAGAUUAGAAUCCUGAUGCUAAAGACUUUUUAGCUGACCUCCAAAAAUACCUAACCUCCCUCUCAGAGGUAGUCCUUCAAAAUAAAAAAAGAUUAGACCUGAUAUUCCUUAAAGAAGGAGCCUGUGUGCUACACUAAAAAAAAUGUUGCUUCUAUACAGACCAUUCAGGAGUAAUUAAAGACUCCAUAAAUAAACUUAAAAAAAGGUUAGACAAAGACAGACAGAAAAACACACAAGAGAUGGUUCGAGAGCUAGUUUAGUAGAUCUCCCUGGAUGACUACCCUACACUCUGCUACAGCUGGACCAUUAUUAAUAAUUUUCUUGGUUUUAGUUUUUGGCUCCUGCGUGACAAACAGGUUAAUUGCUUUUGUUAAAAAUUGAGUGGGUGCUGUGCGGUUGAUGGUUGUGAGACAACAGUACCAGUCAGUUAGGACAACUGGUGAGACCAAAUAAGACUUGAUAUCAAAAUUCUAAGAUUAGAAUUAUUUAAUAGGAGAAGACGGGAAUGAAAAGAAAAUUAUACGAAUUCUAGGUUUAUAAAUAUAAAAAUUAAAAGAAUAAACCCCAAAAGGCCACAGACCCAGGGCUAAGCCCUGCAGCCAGGACUAGCAGGCCAUAAAGAUAAAGGAGCACAGGAAACACUGUUCAGGCAGGACUGACAAGCCAUAAAGAAAAGGAAUGCAGGAACCAGCCUGAGUUAAUGGGACUGAUUCAUGGGACGUCUGGCAGGAAGACAUCUCCCCCCAGCUCACUGAGGGCCAUCCUCCGGCCCCUGAUAAGCCCCUGACUUCUAGCACGUACUCUUUCUGCUUUGUUCUCACUGCUAUGUUUGAAUGAGCCAAUUGUAUGUAACCACGCCAAAACCCCCUAGCCUUCUCUAUAUAACCCUCUGACUUUUGAGUUUCGGGGUCGACACCUCUGUCUCCUGCGUGGGAUAUGUGUCGGCCCGGAGAUCUCUGUAAUAGGUCUCCGUAAUAAACCUCGCCUUUGCUUAUUACAUCCAAAAUGGUCUCUCUGUGUCUGGGGUCCGCGAUUUCCCAAGACUUGAGUAAGGGUCUCUCUGCGUGGGAUCUUUCAUGUGUGUGUGUGUGUUUUGCCUGUUUCAUUCCCCUCUGUAAAGCAUCAAUUAAGGGUCCCCAUGCAUUUUUACUGGAGUCUAAUUUGCUCACUCUUGUGCUUGUCUAAUCUAGACGCACAUGUUAUUAGGGUGGCUGCCUUCCUCUCACCUUCGAGUUGGAUGCAGUGAUUCAUAUUCAAGGCCAGGAACACAGCCCUUUCCUCAGAAUGCGCUUGCUUCUGCCCAGAGCCAUCUGUCGUGACUUACAGAGACUCUCACCUUUUCUUCUUUUCUGACACCCCGGGCAGCUUACCUUGUAUUUCUAGCUAUGUGUUACUCCAAAGAUAAGCAAAGCUUAGUGUCUGGGGUAGGGAAAAACCAGCAGUCAGUGGCUAAUAUAGUUGAACAUUCUGAGGCCAUUAAAACAUUUCCAGUAGUCAACAUUUUAAGAGACUGCCAUGGUUUUCUGGGAUUGGUUUUCACACUUGUUAUAACUUCUCGGAGUAAGUGAGAGAUGCACAAAAGAUGGUUCUUUCUACCUCACCUUUCGUAUCUUCUUUGAUUCUACCGUUAAAGACUUGAAAGCACUCUCAGAGAUAAUCAAGAAGAAAACAUUAUUACCAAGAAUAGCUUUUAUUAAGACCUCCAUUAGAAAACGUCAGACUUUUAACAAUAUUCCAGAAUAGAAGAUGAGGAAUGGGGAAUAACCACGAACUCAGCAGCAUGUAGUGCACAGAUUUGGCUCAUUAAACCCGUCAUUCCUACAAUUCAUAGCAAAAGACGGCGAUUGCUAUGAGUGGUGGGUGAAACAGGAGUGCUGUGUUUCUGGAUACUGUGCACGUCACAAUACUUAGAUGUCCUGGGUGACCUCUGAAGAGAAGC